ensembl:snRNA U6 U6 spliceosomal RNA
GUGCCCACUUCAGCAGCCCAUAUACUAAAACUGGAAUGAUACAGAGAUUAGUGUGGACCCCUGUGCAAGGAUGAUAUGCAAAUUGGUGAAGUGUUCCAUAAAAAA